UAGGGAAUAUUAGAAAUGGACGAAAGUCUGAUCUAGCAACACCGCGUGUGCGAAGAAGGCCUUCGGGUUGUAAAGCACUUUUUGGAAGGAUUAGGAGGGAAUGUACUUCCAGAAUAAGUCUCGGCUAACUACGUGCCAGCAGCCGCGGUAACACGUAGGAGGCAAACGUUAUCCGGAUUUACUGGGCGUAAAGCGCGUGUAGGUGGUUCUGUAAGUAGGGCGUGAAAGCUCCUGGCUCAACUGGGAGAGGCCGUUCUAAACUGCAGAGCUAGAGGAUGGUAGAGGGAGGUGGAAGUCCGGGUGUAGCGGUGGAAUGCGCAGAUAUCCGGAGGAACACCAGUGGCGAAAGCGUCCUCCUGGACCAUUCCUGACACUCAGACGCGAAAGCUAGGGUAGCAAACG
rnacentral:rRNA from 1 species